rnacentral:rRNA from 2 species
ACGGGAGGCAGCAGUGGGGAAUAUUGCACAAUGGGGGAAACCCUGAUGCAGCGACGCCGCGUGAGUGAAGAAGUUAUUCGUAAUGUAAAGCUCUAUCAGCAGGGAAGAAGAUGACGGUACCUGACUAAGAAGCACCGGCUAAAUACGUGCCAGCAGCCGCGGUAAUACGUAUGGUGCAAGCGUUAUCCGGAUUUACUGGGUGUAAAGGGAGCGCAGACGGCAGAGCAAGUCUGAAGUGAAAUCCCCGGGCUCAACCCGGGAACUGCUUUGGAAACUGUUUUGCUAGAGUGUCGGAGAGGUAAGUGGAAUUCCUAGUGUAGCGGUGAAAUGCGUAGAUAUUAGGAGGAACACCAGUGGCGAAGGCGGCUUACUGGACGAUAACUGACGUUGAGGCUCGAAAGCGUGGGGAGCAAACAGGAUUAGAUACCCUGGUA